rnacentral:rRNA from 1 species
AGACCCGAAACCCGGUGAUCUAGCCAUGGGCAGGUUGAAGGUUGGGUAACACUAACUGGAGGACCGAACCGACUAAUGUUGAAAAAUUAGCGGAUGACCUGUGGCUGGGGGUGAAAGGCCAAUCAAACCGGGAGAUAGCUGGUUCUCCCCGAAAGCUAUUUAGGUAGCGCCUCGUGAAUUCAUCUCCGGGGGUAGAGCACUGUUUCGGCUAGGGGGCCAUCCCGGCUUACCAACCCGAUGCAAACUGCGAAUACCGGAGAAUGUUAUCACGGGAGACACACGGCGGGUGCUAACGUCCGUCGUGAAGAGGGAAACAACCCAGACCGCCAGCUAAGGUCCCAAAGUCAUGGUUAAGUGGGAAACGAUGUGGGAAGGCCCAGACAGCCAGGAUGUUGGCUUAGAAGCAGCCAUCAUUUAAAGAAAGCGUAAUAGCUCACUGGUCGAGUCGGCCUGCGCGGAAGAUGUAACGGGGCUAAACCAUGCACCGAAGCUGCGGCAGCGACGCUGAUGCGUUGUUGGGUAGGGGAGCGUUCUGUAAGCCUGCGAAGGUGGCCUGUGAGGGUUGCUGGAGGUAUCAGAAGUGCGAAUGCUGACAUAAGUAACGAUAAAGCGGGUGAAAAGCCCGCUCGCCGGAAGACCAAGGGUUCCUGUCCAACGUUAAUCGGGGCAGGGUGAGUCGACCCCUAAGGCGAGGCCGAAAGGCGUAGUCGAUGGGAAACGGGUUAAUAUUCCCGU